UACGGAGGGUGCAAGCGUUAAUCGGAAUUACUGGGCGUAAAGCGCACGCAGGCGGUCUGUCAAGUCGGAUGUGAAAUCCCCGGGCUCAACCUGGGAACUGCAUUCGAAACUGGCAGGCUAGAGUCUUGUAGAGGGGGGUAGAAUUCCAGGUGUAGCGGUGAAAUGCGUAGAGAUCUGGAGGAAUACCGGUGGCGAAGGCGGCCCCCUGGACAAAGACUGACGCUCAGGUGCGAAAGCGUGGGGAGCAAACAGGAUUAGAUACCCUGGUAGUCCACGCCGUAAACGAUGUCGACUUGGAGGUUGUGCCCUUGAGGCGUGGCUUCCGGAGCUAACGCGUUAAGUCGACCGCCUGGGGAGUACGGCCGCAAGGUUAAAACUCAAAUGAAUUGACGGGGGCCCGCACAAGCGGUGGAGCAUGUGGUUUAAUUCGAUGCAACGCGAAGAACCUUACCUA
rnacentral:rRNA from 1 species